rnacentral:lncRNA from 1 species
GCCAAUGUAAGUAGCUAUUGAGGCAAGAUUCCGAUCUUAGAUAUAGAAAGGACCAACCACCUAAGUAACCUGUCCCUUGACACCUCUUAUUUCAUGAACUGGGUGCUUGACAGUGUUCUUAGGAUUAGACACAGUAUCAGUAUGGUUCCCAGCUGUGUAACUAGCUUGAUUAGCAAAUGAAUUAGAGUUAGGGACUUUCUUCUUUCCUUUAUCACCUUGAUAUUUUCCUUAGUGUGUCCUUUGUAGUGAAAUACUUUUAAUACAUAAACUCAUUCUUCCCAGGCUUGAAAUCAGACCUAGGUUUGUUAGUAGAGAAAGCUACUCCCUCGAGUCCACCAGCAGAUUUAUUAAUAUAAAAAGCAACUCCUUAACAUGUACCAGUGGCUUGAGAUGAAAGAGGCAAUGUAACUAAACUCCUGUAACUUUCUUGAUCCAUGAAAGUGAAUAUUCUUUGUUCAUAGAAGGAAGAGGAUACAUCAUCAAUAUUUGACUCCUAGGCUGAGUAUAUAACUCAUUGAGUCCUAGAAGAAAUUGAAGUAGCCUUUGAUAACCAAAAUACUCAAUAAAUUUGACUGAUUCUAGACAAGGACAUCCAGGAUAAGGCAUCAUCAUACAUAUCCCAUAGAGCUUUGAGUAGGGAUGGCAAUAGAACGGGGCGAAUUUGAGCUUUUCGAGGCAGGGCGGAUUUGUGAGCUAUGCAGAUAUGGGGAGGGGUGGGGCGGGUUGAUGUCCAAAAGAAAGAAAUUUUUGAGGUUGUGGGGUGGAUGUACUCUUCCUACCGUAAGAAAGUUUAAUCACACCAUGAAUCCAAGUAUUGGAGCUUUCUAAUCUGAUGCAUAUGUUAUC